GUGAAGAGCCAACAGUCAAAGCGGUGGUAGACAUAACUCAACUGCAGCCGCAUGUGCGCUCAUAGUUUCACUCCAGAAUCUUCCCAUCCUCUCUCGAUUUCUCCACUGAGAGCUGCGAGACGAGGCCGCCGAAGAUGCAGCCAGGCGGAGGAGUGGAGGACGUGCAGAGGGCGGCCCGUGGAACGGCGUCGCGGCGGUUGCGAGUCGUCGGAGGGAGCCAACGGGCUUCUCUGCCGGCGAGCAACAGCGUUGGAGAACCUUGGAGCUCGCCAAAAUCGUGGUGAUGGCGGCGGCUUCAGAGAGGAAUCGGGAAGGAGACCUUCCUGGUGUCGGCCGGAAAGUAGGUCUCUCUUCCACACCUCCGCCGACGACGGCGACCAGCACCGCCGAUGGGAUGGAUACCCCGCAUAGGUGUAGGCGGCGCUCUAUGUGUGGACGUCCGAGCCAGAGCUGUGCAGGAGCGGCAUAGGAUGCUGCUCCAGAGCGCCCACAUCUCCUCCCCAACUGGCCCGCUCGCCGCUCCUUGCUUCUUCCCGAGCGUCACGAAGGCCUCGAUGGGCUUCGUCCAGCGCGCGCUUGUGAUUCGGCGAUGCAACCGCCUGUUCCUUCCGCGCGCCCCGCUGUGGACCUCCUUGGGCGCCGCACCGGCAGGGAGUUUCACCAGCGCGCCGCCCCUGACCUCGCGAGCACGCCACUCACGUUCGCGGCCUCACCAACGCGCUGCCCCCGAUGUCCACCAGCGCCGCUCUGAAUUCCUGAGCGCGUUGUUCCAGACUACCGAGCAAGCCGCUCCGCAUCUCCAACGAGGAAGGCUGCCGGAGGGUUCUUCCACGAACGCUGGCCCCAGGUAUUCCCUUCCAUAGCGAGCUGCCAUGCCCGGGUUUCAUUGUUCCUGUCUCUCCCCUGCCCAACUCCCUGUGACAGCCGGCCGUGGCGUGGGUUGCUGCAUCGUCUCACUUGGACGGCGGCCACCGCCCACAAUGGUUAGUCUGCAGUGUGUGCUCUGGGCAACCAGUGGAACCACCGCCUGCUCUAGAUAUGGGAGGCGUUGUUUCCUAGAAGCCGCCUUCGACCACCAGAAGACGAGCACAAACAGCCCGCGAGUUCAUCGGCACCAUAGCGGUGGAUACCGUCAGAGCGGCGGUUCGUGGAAAAGGAGUAAUGCUGCGGUGCUCUGCCUACUUGCCGUCUUGCUGAAGCUUGACGACGAUGUCAUCGAUUGGAACGAGUAAAGUUCCCUACCCCGUCCCCCUCCCAGCAAUGAGCCUGUUCCUCACUUUUCUUCAUUUCGUAGUAGAGAAAUGAUCGUAUUGGAGCUCAUACUUGGACAUGGAUGCAAGUGGUGGAAGACAUUGCUGGAGAUUUGGCACUCCCGUUCAAUACCAAGGCAAUCAAAUGGAAUAUAUCUGGUGUGCCUCAAAAUAAAAAUAUCUUCGGAGGAAGAGUCCAUUUAAUGAUGUGGGUAGUUGCCUGCGGACUGCGGUAUGCAUACGGGUGAACUCCUUGCACUCCGGCGGUUGGAUCCAAGGCCCCUGGUAGAUUUUCAUUCGGCUCACCAUCAUCAGCGAGACAAGCCUGUGUGCCUGUGUGUGCUCUGUGGUGUUCAGAAUUGAGGAAGACUUCUGUGGUUAUGCUGAAAUUUAGGAUACACCAUACAGCACUGCAGUCUGCAGUUGCAGUUCCCCCUUGGUACUUCAUCGAUUGGAGCCUUACGGCUAGCAAGAGAUUAGUCAUUGCUUGAAGUUUUGAAGUGGUGUGCAUACAGUACAGAAAAAUUAAUUGUUUAUAGGUUCGCGAGUAAUCUAUCAACCUGUUAUCUCAAUAAGGAAGAGACAAGUUUUUAAAUUCAACAGUAACCGGAAUUGAAGAAAUUGAAAGGGCUUGGAGCUGAUGGAUUGGUUUGUUCAUGAAGAAGUAUUUGAAAGACCUCCGAUGAAGCUCGAAAACUGAGUCGUCUCUACUGUUUUAGCAUCACAACCAAUUCCAAUAAAAGAACGAAUGAAGCGAGGAAUGCGCCAACAUACGCUUUCAGGUGAUGCCUAAAUGUAUUCUGAAAAAUAAAAUUCAGGUUUGUGAUAUAAGAUUCCUGUCACACAUCACUUUACUUUGGCAGUACUGUUUAGAGCUGACAAACUAAUCUUAGAACAUGCAAGUCCACUGUGCUUCUGUCAUACAUUUGUAAGCCAAUACUUAUAUAUCACAUGCAAAAAGGAGGUGGCCCGGGCAAACAGAAAAUGUGCUUUCUUUCCCUGCUUCUCUUCUGUUCAUAUGUACAGUGAUGAUCAUGGAGAUAGAUUGUUCUUUAUUAAGCGGAUAUUUCCUUGAUAUGUUAUAUUUUUUCACUACAUACUGUCCAACAUGAAUGUUCAAGUAUGCUUAUAUAAGAUCAAAUUGUAUAUUUAUUGCAAUUUCUUUAGAUUAUUUAUGUUCAUUUUACUGCUGAUUGUAGCACUACAGUUUAGAGAUGCAUCAAUUCGUUUUUUAGUUAAAAAAAUGGGGACUAUCUUAUAAAUCCACUAAGCAAAGUGGAGCUUACAGUUAUAGGACUGUCAUUAGUUCUGUAUGAACAAGAAUAUACAUAUAUAUGGUCUUUUUUUGCUUUCCAUUGCGAGAUAAAUACGGAGAAAGAUAUAUGUUAGAACUCAUUGUAGUCUUGCUCCUUUUUUAUGAUAUUCAUGCUCCAUCUCAGUAAAGACAUUUUCUUUCUCAGUAAACACAAUUUCCUGUGGGUUGAAACAUGUUUCGAGAAAUCUAAAUCAUCAUGCCAGGUCCCUAUCUAAAUGCAUUGGUAGGAUGGUCUAUUCUCUAUAAUUUGGGGAGUACUAUAAAUAUAUUGCAGAAACUCAUUUGUUGCUUCCAUUUUGGCUACCACCUAUGAUAGGCAUGUCAUUCUGUUAAGCAGCAACUAAUUUAUUUUUCAGUGCCUCUUUGGUUCAAAUUGCGGAACCCACAUUGCACUGCCUCACUGUUUCAAAAUGGUGCACUUAUAUAGUUACAGUAUCCUGUGAAAUUAAGUACUUGGCCAUUGAUGUAUGUUCGCCUUAACCAUCGGCCAUUGUGGUCUGGACCACAUGAACCAGCAUCUUAUCACAUGAUAUUCUUUACCAUGUAAUCCAGUGAAGAUGUUGUUAUCCACUUAAGUAUCACAACUUAUAUUAUGUUCCUUAUCAUAUUUCUAAUGAAUUUUCAGAGACACUGAUCUUGAAACUGCUGCAAUUCAACAGCCUAUGAACAAUCGAACAUACAUUAUGUAACCAUACCUUCAUGCCUUGGAUCUUUCCACUAUACAGAACAAUAGCCCAGUCAUUGUUGAUCAUCCGUUUACUAUUAGACCUCCACAUCAGCCGUAAUUUAACAUGAUUUAAAACAUCCUUUAUUCGGUUUUGAGCAUAACAAUUCAGUGAAAAUAAUAAUUCAGCUUUGAACAUAUUUUCCUCUGCAACGUUAGGGUGCAUAUGGUCAUUGCGUAAUAAAAUGUGAUUUCAGGGAGUACAAUGGCUAGGUGUUCAGGAAAUCCUGAGAAGGAUUGGAGUACAAUCAGAUCUUGGAAGAUCCUUUGCAUGGACAAACACUCAGCUCUUCUAGACAAGAACUUGCUACUUCUGCGGGGACCUCCUGAAGAUUGCCUGGACCUGAAUCUUCUGCUGUUGGGAUCUGUCAUUUGAAAUCCAUCCAUCCACCAGUGAAUCAUGUUGAUCGUUGGCGUCAGGAGAUUGCCUAUGAGAAAUUCAUUCAGCGAGCACAUAAGCUUCAGUUCUAAAAAACUGUAAAAUCAAGUUUCCUCUAUAGAUUUUCUUAUUUCUUCCUUCGUGUACUUGACGGAUGAGCUCUGCUAAAAAAAACUGGCACACUUGGGGUUACAUUUUAAAUGAAACCAGGAGACACGGCCCCUUUAAUUCUAAAAUAAACAUCAUUUAUUC